AGCUUUGCGCAGUGGCAGUAUGGUAGCCGAUGAGGUUUAUCCGAGGCGCGAUUAUUGCUAAUUGAAUUCCACAUUGGGAUUUUGGGAAGGAAGAGCCUUUUCAGGGCUUGGGACCUUUGAAGUGAUUCAUCUGGCUGUGAAGAAAAUAUUGUUUUUAGUAGAU
rnacentral:snRNA from 13 species